rnacentral:misc_RNA from 1 species
GAUGAAGAACGCAGUGAAAUGCGAUAAGUAAUGUGAAUUGCAGAGUUCAGUGAAUCAUCGAAUCUUUGAACGCACAUUGCGCCCGCCAGUAUUCUGGCGGGCAUGCCUGUUCGAGCGUCAUUACAACCCUCAGGCCCCCGGGCCUGGCGUUGGGGAUCGGCAGAAGCCCCCUGUGGGCACACGCCGUCCCUCAAAUACAGUGGCGGUCCCGCCGCAGCUUCCAUUGCGUAGUAGCUAACACCUCGCAACUGGAGAGCGGCGCGGCCAUGCCGUAAAACACCCAACUUCUGAAUGUUGACCUCGAAUCAGGUAGGAAUACCCGCUGAACUUAAGCAUAUCAAUAAGCGGAGGA